rnacentral:rRNA from 1 species
UCCCCUAGUAACUGCGAGUGAAGCGGGAAAAGCUCAAAUUUAAAAUCUGGCGGUUCUGCCGUCCGAGUUGUAAUCUGGAGAAGCGUUUUCUGUGCUGGACCGUGUACAAGUCUCUUGGAACAGAGCGUCAUAGAGGGUGAGAAUCCCGUCCAUGACACGGACGCCCAGUGCUAUGUGAUACGUUUUCAAAGAGUCGAGUUGUUUGGGAAUGCAGCUCAAAAUGGGUGGUAAGCUCCAUCUAAAGCUAAAUAUUGGCGAGAGACCGAUAGCGAACAAGUACCGUGAGGGAAAGAUGAAAAGCACUUUGGAAAGAGAGUUAAACAGUACGUGAAAUUGUUGAAAGGGAAACGCUUGAAGUUAGUCGCGUCUUACUUGACUCAGCCUUGCCUCGGCUUGGUGUAUUUCAUGUGAGACGGGUCAACAUCGAUUUUGACCGGCAGAGAAGGGGGGCGAGAAUGUGGCAUUCUUCGGAGUGUGUUAUAGCUUACUCUCAUAUGUGUCGGUUGGGAUCGAGGCCCGCAGCGCGCCCUUGUGGCCGGAGGUUCGCCUCACGUUACGCGCUUAGGAUGUUGGCAUAAUGGCUUUAAGCGACCCGUCUUGAAACACGGACCAAGGAGUCUAACAUGCUCGCGAGUGUUAGGGUGGAAAACCCUUGCGCAGAAUGAAAGUAAAAGUUGGGAACCUCCGCAAGGGGGCGCACCGACGCCCGGCCCAGAAGUUUACGGACGGUGCUGCGGUAGAGCGCGUAUGUUGGGACCCGAAAGAUGGUGAACUAUGCCUGAAUAGGGCGAAGCCAGGGGAAACCCUGUGUGGAGGCUCGUAGCGAUUCUGACGUGCAAAUCGAUCGUCAAAUUUGGG